GCAUAUUUUCAGAGUUAUUCAACUGAUUUUGAAGUAGUAGAAAAGAAGAAAAAAUAUUUUAAGGGGGGUUCCACUUUCAAAUUUUCACUGCUUUCUUCAUACUCUUGAUGGAUGACUUGAUGAAGCUGUUCCCUGCAGCC